rnacentral:lncRNA from 1 species
UUGUAAUGAACCUUUAUUAAACACAGCCACAGAACAAAAAAUAUAAGAUAAACAAAAAGAAGUCAUAUGCAAACAAACAUUUCCUAUCCACACAAAAAGGAGGAUAUAUCAAUAUCCCAAUACCAACCUUCAAAUUAAAAUACCAACAUUCAAUAAAAGGCCAUAAAAAUCACACAUAACAAACCACUAGGGAAAAAAGGAGCCAAAAGAAAGGGGGAAACAUGGCAG